rnacentral:rRNA from 1 species
GCCUAACACAUGCAAGUCGAGCGGUAGCACAGAAGAGCUUGCUCUUUGGGUGACGAGCGGCGGACGGGUGAGUAAUGUCUGGGAAACUGCCUGAUGGAGGGGGAUAACUACUGGAAACGGUAGCUAAUACCGCAUAACGUCGCAAGACCAAAGUGGGGGACCUUCGGGCCUCAUGCCAUCAGAUGUGCCCAGAUGGGAUUAGCUAGUAGGUGAGGUAAUGGCUCACCUAGGCGACGAUCCCUAGCUGGUCUGAGAGGAUGACCAGCCACACUGGAACUGAGACACGGUCCAGACUCCUACGGGAGGCAGCAGUGGGGAAUAUUGCACAAUGGGCGCAAGCCUGAUGCAGCCAUGCCGCGUGUAUGAAGAAGGCCUUCGGGUUGUAAAGUACUUUCAGCGAGGAGGAAGGCAUUAAGGUUAAUAACCUUAGUGAUUGACGUUACUCGCAGAAGAAGCACCGGCUAACUCCGUGCCAGCAGCCG